UACGAAGGGGGCUAGCGUUGUUCGGAAUUACUGGGCGUAAAGCGCGCGCAGGCGGUCUUCCAAGUCAGUGGUGAAAGCCCGGAGCUCAACUCCGGAAUUGCCAUUGAAACUGUUGGACUUGAGGAUGAGAGAGGUGAGUGGAAUUCCCAGUGUAGAGGUGAAAUUCGUAGAUAUUGGGAAGAACACCGGUGGCGAAGGCGGCGAGCUGGUCCAUUACUGACGCUGAGGCGCGACAGCGUGGGGAGCAAACAGG
rnacentral:rRNA from 1 species